UAAUACGUAGGGGGCAAGCGUUGUCCGGAAUCAUUGGGCGUAAAGCGCGUGUAGGCGGCUCGAUAAGUCUGCUGUGAAAGUCCAGGGCUCAACCCUGGGAUGCCGGUGGAUACUGUCGGGCUCGAGUCCGGAAGAGGCGAGUGGAAUUCCUGGUGUAGCGGUGAAAUGCGCAGAUAUCAGGAGGAACACCAAUGGCGAAGGCAGCUCGCUGGGACGUGACUGACGCUGAGACGCGAAAGCGUGGGGAGCAAACAGGAUUAGAUACCCUGGUAGUCCACGCCGUAAACGAUGGGCACUAGGUGUGGGAGGUGUCGACUCCUCCCGUGCCGAAGCUAACGCAUUAAGUGCCCCGCCUGGGGAGUACGGCCGCAAGGCUA
rnacentral:rRNA from 1 species